CACACUGUCUGUCUCCUGUUCCAGCUCAGGGCUUCUGCAGGGACACACAUGCACACAUGAGCACAGAGCCACACACAAACACACACCACAGACGUGUCGUCACUGCCACUCCUGGCAGCCGGUGAUAUAAGGGAGUGGGAGCUCUAAGGAGGAGAAAGAGAGGUGGAAACGGCUACCGUUAAGCUGAAGCAGGAGGCCCAGCCGUUGCACCUGGCCUAUCACGCAGCCCACCAUGUGAAUCGCUGCCGCCUCCUAGAGGACAAGAACAGAGCUCUUAAACAAGAGCUAGCCGCUCUUAAACAGCAGAAACAGCAGCACCGAUCCCUGGAGUCAGAGGUCAAUGAUUGCAGGAAAAGGUGUCAGAUCCUUGAGAGAGAAGUGAAGAACAAGACAUUAGAAUGUAAG